rnacentral:rRNA from 1 species
CCUACGGGUGGCUGCAGUGAGGAAUAUUGGUCAAUGGGCGCGAGCCUGAACCAGCCAAGUCGCGUGAAGGAUGACUGCCCUACGGGUUGUAAACCUCUUUUGUAAAGGAAUAAAGUGAGGCACGUGUGCCCUUUUGUAUGUACUUUAUGAAUAAGGAUCGGCUAACUCCGUGCCAGCAGCCGCGGUAAUACGGAGGAUCCGAGCGUUAUCCGGAUUUAUUGGGUUUAAAGGGAGCGUAGAUGGGUUGUUAAGUCAGGGGUGAAAGUUUGCGGCUCAACCGUAAAAUGGCAAUUGAUACUGGCAGCCUUGAGUACAGGUGAGGUAGGCGGAAUGCGUGGUGUAGCGGUGAAAUGCUUAGAUAUCACGAAGAACUCCGAUUGCGAAGGCAGCUUACUAGACUGCCACUGACAUUGAGGCACGAAAGUGUGGGUAUCAAACAGGAUUAGAUACCCGAGUAGUC